rnacentral:rRNA from 1 species
AAUCAACGCUGGCGGCGUGCCUAACACAUGCAAGUCGAACGCGAAAGUGGAGCAAUCCAUGAGUAGAGUGGCAAACGGGUGAGUAACACGUGGGUGACCUGCCUUCGAGCGGGGGAUAACGUCCCGAAAGGGACGCUAAUACCGCAUAACAUCCUGCCUUUUAAGAGGUGGAGAUCAAAGCCGGGGAUCGCAAGACCUGGCACUUGAAGAGGGGCCCGCGCCUGAUAGCUAGUUGGUGGGGUAAUGGCCUACCAAGGCAACGAUCAGUAUCCGGCCUGAGAGGGCGGACGGACACACUGGGACUGAGACACGGCCCAGACUCCUACGGGAGGCAGCAGUGGGGAAUUGUUCGCAAUGGGCGCAAGCCUGACGACGCAACGCCGCGUGGAGGAUGAAGACCUU